AAAACAAAAUGAAACAAAAAGCUGACUCGGCACCAAAAAUUGGAAAGUUUAAACUUUUUAAUACUGCACAAAACUUAGGAACAUUUAAUACUUAUCUUGCAACUCAGAGUUAAAUCACCAAAAAUUGUAUUAAAUCAGUAAAAAAAAAUCAAUUAAACUUGAAGAAUUUAUAAAAUAAAAAUACAAAAGUUCACAGCCAAAAAAUUACAGCUUAAGAGUUUGAAGUUUUGCCACCUUCAAAACAGCCGAUUGAACAUGCACAAGAUACAUGUAAUAUAGAGCAUUUCAAAAAACUGCGUUGACUAAGUCCAAACAGUUCGACGAACAAAUUCCAAAGAAAGCGAAGACUGGGAUUCACAAAUUGUGAGCUCCUCCGACUACUUGGAGAAUGGCCAAACGACCACCAUGACCACUAAUCCGCUCCAUAAUCUUCGCCGUCGUCAAAUUGCUGAAAUUAGGCUAUGAACUUCUACACCAUCGACCGUGUUCUCCAAUUUUGGCUCCAUAUGGCCAAAUUUGAGUCGAAUGAUCGCCACCAAGGAGGCCGACAUUGAAGACCUCCGAAAAACUUAUUUUUUAGACGGGCUAAUGAAGUUGGAGAAUUACUGAAUUAAGUGUAUCAAGCUAAAGAGAGGCAAUGCAAAAGAAAUAAAUCGGCAUUUUCGAGAAAUUUUAAUUUUCCUUUGUAAGCUGAAUGUUUUUUUGGUCUAUAGACGAACGGACGAAAAACCAUACAAAUGGGGUUGAAUAAAUUCUUCAAAAUAAUUGAAA